rnacentral:rRNA from 1 species
UACGAAGGGGGCUAGCGUUGCUCGGAAUCACUGGGCGUAAAGCGCACGUAGUCGGCUUUGCAAGUCGGGUGUGAAAUCCCCGGGCUCAACCUGGGAACUGCAUCCGAGACUGCAUUGCUAGAGUAUGGGAGAGGGAAGCGGAAUUUCUGGUGUAGCAGUGAAAUGCGUAGAUAUCAGAAGGAACAUCAGUGGCGAAGGCGGCUCUCUGGGACGGUACUGGACGCUGAGACGCGAAAGCGUGGGGAGCGAACAGG